CAACUGUGGCUGAGUUAGAGUAGUAUCGCGAGCUAGAAGCAAUGGAGAGAGAAACUGUUGGACUUAGAUUGGAUGAACCAAGCUCUUCUACGACCACUGCUGCAACAUAAAGAAGAUGCACAGUUCAGUUUUCUGCCGGUGCAAAGGUUUUGCAGCAUCCCCAUAAUGGAGAAGAUGAGGUGAUGGCUGAUCGAAACAUUAAAGCAACCUAACUUGUGUUUUUUUUCUUCAGUUUUAUGUGUAAUGGGACUGCGUAUUUUUCAGUUAAUUGUUGGUCAUGUAAUUUCUUUAUAA